AGAGUUUGAUCCUGGCUCAGGACGAACGCUGGCGGCGUGCUUAACACAUGCAAGUCGAACGAGAAUCUGUGGAAAGAGGAUUCGUCCAAUUGAAGCAGAGGACAGUGGCGGACGGGUGAGUAACGCGUGAGGAACCUGCCUUUCAGAGGGGGACAACAGUUGGAAACGACUGCUAAUACCGCAUGACACAUAGGUGUCGCAUGGCACUUAUGUCAAAGAUUUAUCGCUGAAAGAUGGCCUCGCGUCUGAUUAGCUAGUUGGUGAGGUAACGGCCCACCAAGGCGACGAUCAGUAGCCGGACUGAGAGGUUGAACGGCCACAUUGGGACUGAGAUACGGCCCAGACUCCUACGGGAGGCAGCAGUGGGGAAUAUUGGGCAAUGGGCGCAAGCCUGACCCAGCAACGCCGCGUGAAGGAAGAAGGCUUUCGGGUUGUAAACUUCUUUUGUCAGGGACGAGUAGAAGACGGUACCUGACGAAUAAGCCACGGCUAACUACGUGCCAGCAGCCGCGGUAAUACGUAGGUGGCAAGCGUUGUCCGGAUUUACUGGGUGUAAAGGGCGUGUAGCCGGGAGGGCAAGUCAGAUGUGAAAUCCACGGGCUCAACUCGUGAACUGCAUUUGAAACUACUCUUCUUGAGUAUCGGAGAGGCAAUCGGAAUUCCUAGUGUAGCGGUGAAAUGCGUAGAUAUUAGGAGGAACACCAGUGGCGAAGGCGGCUUACUGGACGAUUACUGACGCUGAGGCUCGAAAGCGUGGGGAGCAAACAGGAUUAGAUACCCUGGUAGUCCACGCUGUAAACGAUGAAUACUAGGUGUGCGGGGACUGACCCCCUGCGUGCCGCAGCUAACGCAAUAAGUAUUCCACCUGGGGAGUACGAUCGCAAGGUUGAAACUCAAAGGAAUUGACGGGGGCCCGCACAAGCGGUGGAUUAUGUGGUUUAAUUCGAAGCAACGCGAAGAACCUUACCAGGGCUUGACAUCCUACUAACGAGAUAGAGAUAUGUUAGGUGCCCUUCGGGGAAAGUA
rnacentral:rRNA from 1 species